UACGUAGGGUGCAAGCGUUGUCCGGAAUUAUUGGGCGUAAAGAGCGUGUAGGCGGCCCGAUUAGUCCGCUGUGAAAGCCCAGGGCUCAACCUUGGAAUUGCAUUUGAGACUGAGUAGCUAGGGUGCGGAAGAGGGAAGCGGAAUUCCUGGUGUAGCGGUGAAAUGCGCAGAUAUCAGGAGGAACACCGGUGGCGAAGGCGGUUCUCUGGGCAUGUCCUGACGCUGAGGAGCGAAAGUGUGGGGAGCGAACAGG
rnacentral:rRNA from 1 species